rnacentral:rRNA from 1 species
AACGAACGCUGGCGGCAGGCUUAACACAUGCAAGUCGAACGCAUGCCUUCGGGCAUGAGUGGCAGACGGGUGCGUAACGCGUGGGAACCUACCCCUUGGUACGGGAUAGCUCCGGGAAACUGUAGAUAAUACCGUAUGUGUCCUGAGGGACAAAGAUUCAUCGCCAAGGGAUGGGCCCGCGUCGGAUUAGCUAGUUGGUGGGGUAACGGCCUACCAAGGCGACGAUCCGUAGCUGGUCUAAGAGGAUGAUCAGCCACAUUGGGACUGAGACACGGCCCAAACUCCUACGGGAGGCAGCAGUGGGGAAUAGUGGACAAUGGGCGCAAGCCUGAUCCAGCCAUGCCGCGUGAGUGAUGAAGGCCCUAGGGUUGUAAAGCUCUUUCACCGGUGACGAUAAUGACGGUAACCGGAGAAGAAGCCCCGGCUAACUUCGUG